rnacentral:rRNA from 1 species
CCCUUAGAUGUUCUGGGCCGCACACGCGCUACACUGAAGGAGGCAGCGUGUACUCCUGGAUCGAAAGAUUUGGGUAACCCGCGAAUCUCCUUCGUGCUAGGGAUUGAGGUUUGCAAUUAUCCUUCAUGAACGAGGAAUUCCCAGUAAGUGCAAGUCAUAAGCUUGCGCUGACUACGUCCCUGCCCUUUGUACACACCGCCCGUCGCUCCUACCGAUUGAAUGGUCCGGUGAAAUGUUCGGACCGCGACAAGGCGGACGGUUCGCUGUCAGCUUUGCUGCGGGAAGUUCAUUAAACCUUAUCAUUUAGAGGAAGGAGAAGUCGUAACA